GAUUAGAGUUUGAUCCUGGCUCAGAUUGAACGCUGGCGGCAGGCCUAACACAUGCAAGUCGAGCGGUAGCACAGAGAGCUUGCUCUCGGGUGACGAGCGGCGGACGGGUGAGUAAUGUCUGGGAAACUGCCUGAUGGAGGGGGAUAACUACUGGAAACGGUAGCUAAUACCGCAUAACGUCGCAAGACCAAAGUGGGGGACCUUCGGGCCUCAUGCCAUCAGAUGUGCCCAGAUGGGAUUAGCUGGUAGGUGGGGUAACGGCUCACCUAGGCGACGAUCCCUAGCUGGUCUGAGAGGAUGACCAGCCACACUGGAACUGAGACACGGUCCAGACUCCUACGGGAGGCAGCAGUGGGGAAUAUUGCACAAUGGGCGCAAGCCUGAUGCAGCCAUGCCGCGUGUGUGAAGAAGGCCUUCGGGUUGUAAAGCACUUUCAGCGGGGAGGAAGGCGGUGAGGUUAAUAACCUCAUCGAUUGACGUUACCCGCAGAAGAAGCACCGGCUAACUCCGUGCCAGCAGCCGCGGUAAUACGGAGGGUGCAAGCGUUAAUCGGAAUUACUGGGCGUAAAGCGCACGCAGGCGGUCUGUCAAGUCGGAUGUGAAAUCCCCGGGCUCAACCUGGGAACUGCAUUCGAAACUGGCAGGCUAGAGUCUUGUAGAGGGGGGUAGAAUUCCAGGUGUAGCGGUGAAAUGCGUAGAGAUCUGGAGGAAUACCGGUGGCGAAGGCGGCCCCCUGGACAAAGACUGACGCUCAGGUGCGAAAGCGUGGGGAGCAAACAGGAUUAGAUACCCUGGUAGUCCACGCUGUAAACGAUGUCGAUUUGGAGGUUGUGCCCUUGAGGCGUGGCUUCCGGAGCUAACGCGUUAAAUCGACCGCCUGGGGAGUACGGCCGCAAGGUUAAAACUCAAAUGAAUUGACGGGGGCCCGCACAAGCGGUGGAGCAUGUGGUUUAAUUCGAUGCAACGCGAAGAACCUUACCUGGUCUUGACAUCCACAGAACUUAGCAGAGAUGCUUUGGUGCCUUCGGGAACUGUGAGACAGGUGCUGCAUGGCUGUCGUCAGCUCGUGUUGUGAAAUGUUGGGUUAAGUCCCGCAACGAGCGCAACCCUUAUCCUUUGUUGCCAGCGGUCCGGCCGGGAACUCAAAGGAGACUGCCAGUGAUAAACUGGAGGAAGGUGGGGAUGACGUCAAGUCAUCAUGGCCCUUACGACCAGGGCUACACACGUGCUACAAUGGCAUAUACAAAGAGAAGCGACCUCGCGAGAGCAAGCGGACCUCAUAAAGUAUGUCGUAGUCCGGAUUGGAGUCUGCAACUCGACUCCAUGAAGUCGGAAUCGCUAGUAAUCGUAGAUCAGAAUGCUACGGUGAAUACGUUCCCGGGCCUUGUACACACCGCCCGUCACACCAUGGGAGUGGGUUGCAAAAGAAGUAGGUAGCUUAACCUUCGGGAGGGCGCUUACCACUUUGUGAUUCAUGACUGGGGUGAAGUCGUAACAAGGUAACCGUUU
rnacentral:rRNA from 1 species